UGUUUUGAAUGAACUCCCUGUGGACCGAGAUGAUUCUUUGAUCGCACUGAGAAGAAGAAUCGAGGAGACUUCUCUAGGCUACAGACAGCGCAGAGCACGUCUCUAUAGCCAAACAGACAGCAACACUGGACGUUCUGUAAUCCGCAGCCGAAUGUGGCGGG